rnacentral:rRNA from 1 species
GGUUAAGCGACUAAGCGUACACGGUGGAUGCCCUGGCAGUCAGAGGCGAUGAAGGACGUGCUAAUCUGCGAAAAGCGUCGGUAAGGUGAUAUGAACCGUUAUAACCGGCGAUGUCCGAAUGGGGAAACCCAGUGCAAUUCGUUGCACUAUCGUUAACUGAAUACAUAGGUUAACGAGGCGAACCGGGGGAACUGAAACAUCUAAGUACCCCGAGGAAAAGAAAUCAACCGAGAUUCCCCCAGUAGCGGCGAGCGAACGGGGAGCAGCCCAGAGUCUGAAUCAGCUUGUGUGUUAGUGGAACGGUCUGGAAAGUCCGACGGUACAGGGUGAUAGUCCCGUACACCAAAAUGCACAGGUUGUGAACUCGAAGAGUAGGGCGGGACACGUGGUAUCCUGUCUGAAUAUGGGGGGACCAUCCUCCAAGGCUAAAUACUCCUGACUGACCGAUAGUGAACCAGUACCGUGAGGGAAAGGCGAAAAGAACCCCGGCGAGGGGAGUGAAAAAGAACCUGAAACCGUGUACGUACAAGCAGUGGGAGCACCUUCGGGUGUGACUGCGUACCUUUUGUAUAAUGGGUCAGCGACUUAUAUUCUGUAGCAAGGUUAACCGUAUAGGGGAGCCGCAGGGAAACCGAGUCUUAACUGGGCGUUAAGUUGCAGGGUAUAGACCCGAAACCCGGUGAUCUAGCCAUGGGCAGGUUGAAGGUUGGGUAACACUAACUGGAGGACCGAACCGACUAAUGUUGAAAAAUUAGCGGAUGACUUGUGGCUGGGGGUGAAAGGCCAAUCAAACCGGGAGAUAGCUGGUUCUCCCCGAAAGCUAUUUAGGUAGCGCCUCGUGAAUUCAUCUUCGGGGGUAGAGCACUGUUUCGGCUAGGGGGUCAUCCCGACUUACCAACCCGAUGCAAACUACGAAUACCGAAGAAUGUUAUCACGGGAGACACACGGCGGGUGCUAACGUCCGUCGUGAAGAGGGAAACAACCCAGACCGCCAGCUAAGGUCCCAAAGUCAUGGUUAAGUGGGAAACGAUGUGGGAAGGCACAGACAGCCAGGAUGUUGGCUUAGAAGCAGCCAUCAUUUAAAGAAAGCGUAAUAGCUCACUGGUCGAGUCGGCCUGCGCGGAAGAUGUAACGGGGCUAAACCAUGCACCGAAGCUGCGGCAGCGACACUAUGUGUUGUUGGGUAGGGGAGCGUUCUGUAAGCCUGCGAAGGUGUGCUGUGAGGCAUGCUGGAGGUAUCAGAAGUGCGAAUGCUGACAUAAGUAACGAUAAAGCGGGUGAAAAGCCCGCUCGCCGGAAGACCAAGGGUUCCUGUCCAACGUUAAUCGGGGCAGGGUGAGUCGACCCCUAAGGCGAGGCCGAAAGGCGUAGUCGAUGGGAAACAGGUUAAUAUUCCUGUACUUGGUGUUACUGCGAAGGGGGGACGGAGAAGGCUAUGUUAGCCGGGCGACGGUUGUCCCGGUUUAAGCAUGUAGGCUGGUUAUCCAGGCAAAUCCGGAUAAUCAAGGCUGAGGUGUGAUGACGAGGCACUACGGUGCUGAAGUAACAAAUGCCCUGCUUCCAGGAAAAGCCUCUAAGCAUCAGGUAACAUCAAAUCGUACCCCAAACCGACACAGGUGGUCAGGUAGAGAAUACCAAGGCGCUUGAGAGAACUCGGGUGAAGGAACUAGGCAAAAUGGUGCCGUAACUUCGGGAGAAGGCACGCUGGUGUGUAGGUGAAGCCCCUGCGGGUGGAGCUGAGACCAGUCGAAGAUACCAGCUGGCUGCAACUGUUUAUUAAAAACACAGCACUGUGCAAACACGAAAGUGGACGUAUACGGUGUGACGCCUGCCCGGUGCCGGAAGGUUAAUUGAUGGGGUUAUCCGUAAGGAGAAGCUCUUGAUCGAAGCCCCGGUAAACGGCGGCCGUAACUAUAACGGUCCUAAGGUAGCGAAAUUCCUUGUCGGGUAAGUUCCGACCUGCACGAAUGGCGUAAUGAUGGCCAGGCUGUCUCCACCCGAGACUCAGUGAAAUUGAACUCGCUGUGAAGAUGCAGUGUACCCGCGGCAAGACGGAAAGACCCCGUGAACCUUUACUAUAGCUUGACACUGAACAUUGAGCCUUGAUGUGUAGGAUAGGUGGGAGGCUUUGAAGCGUGGACGCCAGUCUGCGUGGAGCCAACCUUGAAAUACCACCCUUUAAUGUUUGAUGUUCUAACGUUGGCCCCUUAUCGGGGUUGCGGACAGUGUCUGGUGGGUAGUUUGACUGGGGCGGUCUCCUCCCAAAGCGUAACGGAGGAGCACGAAGGUUAGCUAAUCCUGGUCGGACAUCAGGAGGUUAGUGCAAUGGCAUAAGCUAGCUUGACUGCGAGCGUGACGGCGCGAGCAGGUGCGAAAGCAGGUCAUAGUGAUCCGGUGGUUCUGAAUGGAAGGGCCAUCGCUCAACGGAUAAAAGGUACUCCGGGGAUAACAGGCUGAUACCGCCCAAGAGUUCAUAUCGACGGCGGUGUUUGGCACCUCGAUGUCGGCUCAUCACAUCCUGGGGCUGAAGUAGGUCCCAAGGGUAUGGCUGUUCGCCAUUUAAAGUGGUACGCGAGCUGGGUUUAGAACGUCGUGAGACAGUUCGGUCCCUAUCUGCCGUGGGCGCUGGAGAAUUGAGGGGGGCUGCUCCUAGUACGAGAGGACCGGAGUGGACGCAUCACUGGUGUUCGGGUUGUCAUGCCAAUGGCACUGCCCGGUAGCUAAAUGCGGAAGAGAUAAGUGCUGAAAGCAUCUAAGCACGAAACUUGCCCCGAGAUGAGUUCUCCCUGAGACUUUAAGUCUCCUGAAGGAACGUUAAAGACGAUGACGUUGAUAGGCCGGGUGUGUAAGCGCAGCGAUGCGUUGAGCUAACCGGUACUAAUGAACCGUGAGGCUUAACCUU